rnacentral:rRNA from 1 species
CCUACGGGGGGCAGCAGUGGGGAAUAUUGGACAAUGGGCGCAAGCCUGAUCCAGCCAUGCCGCGUGAGUGAAGAAGGCCUUAGGGUUGUAAAGCUCUUUCGGCGGGGACGAUGAUGACGGUACCCGCAGAAGAAGCUCCGGCUAACUCCGUGCCAGCAGCCGCGGUAAUACGGAGGGGGCUAGCGUUGUUCGGAAUUACUGGGCGUAAAGCGCGCGUAGGCGGUGCGAUUAGUCAGGCGUGAAAGGCCCGGGCUCAACCCGGGAACGGCGCUUGAUACUAUGGUGCUAGAGUCCGGGAGAGGAUGGCGGAAUUCCCAGUGUAGAGGUGAAAUUCGUAGAUAUUGGGAAGAACACCGGUGGCGAAGGCGGCCAUCUGGCCUGGAACUGACGCUGAGGCGCGACAGCGUGGGGAGCAAACAGGAUUAGAUACCCUGGUAGUC